rnacentral:rRNA from 1 species
UUAACGCUAGCGGGAGGCCUAAUACAUGCAAGUCGAGGGGCAGCACGAGUAGCAAUACUUGGUGGCGACCGGCGCACGGGUGAGUAACGCGUACGCAAUCUACCUAUAACUGGUGAAUAGCCCGGGGAAACUCGGAUUAAUACACCAUAAUAUAUAGAGUUCGCAUGAACUUUAUAUUAAAGCUCCGGCGGUUAUAGAUGAGCGUGCGUCUGAUUAGCUAGUUGGUGAGGUAACGGCUCACCAAGGCUACGAUCAGUAGCUGGUCUGAGAGGAUGAUCAGCCACACUGGGACUGAGACACGGCCCAGACUCCUACGGGAGGCAGCAGUGAGGAAUAUUGGACAAUGGGCGCAAGCCUGAUCCAGCCAUGCCGCGUGCAGGAAGAAGCAUCUAUGGUGUGUAAACUGCUUUUGUACGGGAAGAAACAUCACUACGUGUAGUGACUUGACGGUACCGUAAGAAUAAGGAUCGGCUAACUCCGUG